GGGGAUAUAGCUCAGUUGUAGAGCACUUGCCUCACAUGCACAAGGCCAUGGAUUCAAUCCCCAGCACCCCCC
rnacentral:tRNA from 1 species